AGAUCCUCUGCUGGGGCCGUUUAAUAUUUUUAUUAAAGAUUUACAGGACAUGGCAGCAUGUAGGGUCAUUAAAUUUGCAGUUAUACAGUGCUAAAGGGAUCAGGCAAGACUAACUGGUCCUUCUUUGCAGAGAAAUUACUUCCUGGCAAUAAAAUCUUGCUGAAUUAUGCAGGGAGACUGAAAACAUGAUCCUGACUGGACCAAGAUGCUCCAUGGCAGUUGAGGAGCUGGAGCUCGGAGAAUAAAUCCCAGCAGAGCCGCAGUACAGCCGCUGUUCAGGAGGAGAUCCGGGAUGUUAAAGAAGCAUAAAUACAUAUUCAAAUACACGUUUAAAAGGAUGGCACCCUCGUGUUUAUCAGGGGAAAGGACACUUGGAGCACCUGUACCGAAAGGGAGAAGGUGAAGAAGCCUGUGAGCAUUCCCUGCCUCCUCUGAUCUUAUGCAGAUUCUAAACACAAGUCUGAACGCAAGCUCGAUGGCAACUCUCUGCUCCGGCUGCCAGGGCUGCAGCUCCAGCCGCUCCUCUCCGUCCUCCACCUUCUUUUUCCAAAGUAACAAAGCCAUUGGAUUUCCUCCCACCCCUUCCCUGCGCCUCCCCUCCCCCUCGCUGGCACCGGGGUUAUUUAUACAGAAUGUGGAAACAAUUUGCAGGAAAGUGAACAAUGUAAGCGGGAGCGAGGGAAGGGAGGCGAGUUUGCAGAGCACGCUGAGAGCCCCAGCGGUGGAACGCUGCUUUUGGGGGAGCACGGGGAGCAGGAUGUUUUCCUUUCUUCCUUCUCCCCUCUCCCACCAUCUCCCUGAGCUCCUUCCAUCCUGCUGGAGUCGAGGCCAAACCAGAGCAACGAGAUCUGAGUGA
rnacentral:lncRNA from 1 species